rnacentral:rRNA from 1 species
UGGGGAAUAUUGGACAAUGGGCGAAAGCCUGAUCCAGCCAUGCCGUGUGUGUGAAGAAGGUCUUCGGAUUGUAAAGCACUUUAAGUUGGGAGGAAGGGCAGUAAGCGAAUACCUUGCUGUUUUGACGUUACCGACAGAAUAAGCACCGGCUAACUCUGUGCCAGCAGCCGCGGUAAUACAGAGGGUGCAAGCGUUAAUCGGAAUUACUGGGCGUAAAGCGCGCGUAGGUGGUUCGUUAAGUUGAAUGUGAAAGCCCCGGGCUCAACCUGGGAACUGCAUCCAAAACUGGCGAGCUAGAGUAGGGCAGAGAGUGGUGGAAUUUCCUGUGUAGCGGUGAAAUGCGUAGAUAUAGGAAGGAACACCAGUGGAGAAGGCGACCACCUGGGCUAAUACUGACACUGAGGUGCGAAAGCGUGGGGAGCAAACAGG